CCUACGGGCGGCUGCAGUGGGGAAUUUUGGACAAUGGGCGCAAGCCUGAUCCAGCAAUGCCGCGUGUGUGAUGAAGGCCUUCGGGUUGUAAAGCACUUUUGGUGGGAACGAAACGGUCCGGGCCAAUACCCUGGACUAAUGACGGUACCUGCAGAAUAAGCACCGGCUAACUACGUGCCAGCAGCCGCGGUAAUACGUAGGGUGCGAGCGUUAAUCGGAAUUACUGGGCGUAAAGCGUGCGCAGGCGGUUUUGUAAGACCGAUGUGAAAUCCCCGGGCUUAACCUGGGAACUGCAUUGGUGACUGCAAGGCUGGAGUGUGUCAGAGGGGGGUGGAAUUCCGCGUGUAGCAGUGAAAUGCGUAGAUAUGCGGAGGAACACCGAUGGCGAAGGCAGCCCCCUGGGAUAACACUGACGCUCAUGCACGAAAGCGUGGGGAGCAAACAGGAUUAGAUACCCCUGUAGUC
rnacentral:rRNA from 1 species